GGAGUUAAGCAUGUGUGAAGCCAUCAGUAGUAAGGAGCAGAGUAGGAAUUCAAAUUCAAGUAUAUCAGCUACCACAGCCUCAACUCGUAACAAUCUCCUCACAGCCAAAAAGUUAUAUUUGUGGUGAGAGGUGGGUGUGUUUCAAAUAUGUUCGAUGAGGGAUAGGGCCUGCAAGAGGAAGCUGCUUUCCAGCCUGUGAAGGUCUUCCUGGAGCACUGGCUAUGCCCACCUGGAGGAGGGUUGCAUCCUGGCCAUGUUAGUGUCUGUGAUGGAAGCCAGAUGAGACCAAGUGUUAUGAGCUAAAUGGUGUCCCUCCAAAUUCAUAUGUUGAAGUCCUAAUCCCCCAAGAAGUACCUCCAAAUAUGAGUGUAAGUAGAGACAGAACCUUUAAAGAGCGAUUAAAGUAAAAUGAGAUCAUUGAUUGGGUCCUAUUCCAAUACGACUGAUAUCCUUAUAAGAAGAGGACAGACACACAGAGGGAAGACCGUAUGAAGACACAGGGAGAAGAAAGCCAUCCAUGAGCCCAUGAGAUAGGCAUCAGAAGGAAACAACCCUGUCGGCACCUUGAUCUUGAACUUCUAGCCCCCAGAACUGUGAAGAAAUAAAUUUCUA